GAUGAAGAACGUAGCGAAAUGCGAUACUUGGUGUGAAUUGCAGAAUCCCGUGAACCAUCGAGUCUUUGAACGCAAGUUGCGCCCGAAGCCAUUAGGCCGAGGGCACGCCUGCCUGGGCGUCACACGUCGUUGCCCCCCCACCUACUCCUUCGGGAUUGCGGGGGGCGGAUGAUGGCCUCUCGUGCGCCUCGUCGCGCGGUUGGCCUAAAUGCCAAGUCCUCGGCGACGCACGCCACGACAAUCGGUGGUUGCGAAACCUCGGUUGCCUGUCGUGUGCGGUCGUCGCGCAUCGAGGGCUCGAAAAAAUUGCCGGGCUUCGGCUCGACUUUCAACGCGACCCCAGGUCAGGCGGGGUUACCCGCUGAAUUUAAGCAUAUCAAUAAGCGGAGGA
rnacentral:misc_RNA from 1 species